rnacentral:lncRNA from 1 species
CAAAUCUUACUAAAAUUGAUGAGAGGGAGACACACAAAUGAAUAGUUUGACUUUAAACACUUUUUUACACAUUUCCCCUCUGUUUUUUGCGAAAUUAUCGUAUUUUGAGCUCUCCUUUAAACUAUUUACGUUUCUUUUACAAUCCGGAAAAAUCAGUAUGACGAGAUAUUCAGAAUUCUAAAUAUAUCCAACCUACAUUGUAUUUUAUAGUGACGUCAUUGUUGGAAUGCCACACUACGCAGAAGCAGGGAUAUCCUUCACUGGUUAUUUAAAGCAUUAUCAGAGAUUGUGUACUAAUUAAAAAUUGGUAUUUGUUAAAUGUUUGCUAAAUGUUUUACAUAGUAAUGUUUGCUGUAGAUGAUUCAAACAUCAACAUGCAAUACUUUAAUUUGUAGGGCAACAACUUUCAAAGUUAACACAGAUCAUGGGGAUACAUGAAAUAGGGGAGAGAAACGAUUUUUUUCAUUUUUUUCUGUUAAAUUCUGUUUUGAGAAUCUUCCUCCAAUUCAGGAGCAC